CAGACUGCGUGUGAGCGGUACCAGAGAGACGCUGCGCGCGAUGCCUUCGGUUUAACGGGAGAACAGAGGGCUCGCGACAGAGACAGUUUGAGAAGUGCAUGCACAGAACGCAUGCUUUAUAAACAAUUUUUAAUAACGGAAAUGUGUGUAGAAUGCAUGACGCAUGCACAUUGCUUGCUGGGAGAGCAUACACGUGUCCAUUGCGCGACUGUGGGUCAUUCUUUAUGGAUAGCAUGUGUGUUUAUUUUAGGUGGAUGAGUGAUGCCGGCCUUUAACAUAUGCUGCUCGUGUCUGUGCUGUUUAUGCUGGAUACAAAUGUCGUUGUUGUUUUAAGGCAAUUGUAAAAGCGCGACGGGAACGCGGUGAACGGAGUGCGUCGGUGGGUUGGUCCGUGGAUCUGAGUCAAAUGGCUCUUGAGAGCACCUAUAAAGAGAACAGAAGGAAUAGAGUUACGCACUUGUCAAAAUGAACAGUUCAGAAGUCACUGCAGUCCUGAGGAGAGAAAUCUACGAAGUUAAAAUCUUCUUCUAUCAUUUACAGAAAGGCCGUGCAAGAUGUAAAGGAUCGUCUGGAGAGCGGCCGAGUGGCCUGCUUAGACCAAUUGCUGAAGGCACUACAGCUAUAUUUCACCUGCCUGUGGUUCUGGAAGAUAAGCGCUGACAUGUGGUAGCCUGAAGCUUGCAUGUUAAGAGGCCGAAGAGUAGACGCCAGCGCACAACACUGCAGGUGUAAAAGAUAAAGUCACAUGGAUGAGAGCUGAGGCCUGUACCAUGAAUGUUGCUGAACAAACUCAAGGUUACAGGAUUAGUUUUGGGUUGAUAAAACAAAACCAACGUCAUCAAGCUUUGUUGGUACCAUGAAGCACCUCAUGGAGUUUCUUUGUCAACUCAAGCUUUGAUCCUGAAGCUAAGAUUUGUUUGUGCGCGCGUGCACAUAAACGAGUGACGUCGUCAUCGCUUAACCAAUCGCGUUCAACAUGGAUAGAGGGAGUUCCGUAUGUUUGUUAGGAAAUAAUUAUGCGCAAAUAUAAGUUACACAAAAUUGUAUUUCGGGCCACAGAGUAAUACUGUUUCUGCAGUCUAUGCAACAGAGAACGGUUUCAGAAACACUGCUGAUUGAGUUAAUGCACAAGUUAAACGACUAUAUAGUACACACAUUUACUGUAGUGUACUAUAGUAAGGUAAAUAUUAAAGUACUGUAAUAAGAUGUAUGUGUAUAAUGUAUGUGUGUGCCCCCAAAGCGGAUGAACAUAUCCUACUAACAUAUAGUUAUCAUUUAGUUUACCUUUAUUAAGAGAAUGAAGCACAUAAUGAAGUGAAACGAUCUGUGUGAUGACAAAGUUAAAGGGAUAAAUGUACUGUACUAUUCAUUAUGGCACACGUGUGAAAGUGAAAAUGUAUAUUUGAUGGUACAGGUGUCUCUGUUAUUGUAGGACAUUUCACAACCUUCCCCAGAAACUGAAGUGCUAAAUGACUAAAUGUAAAUGUAAGUGUACCUCCAUUGGUUACAGAAGAAAUGUGAACAAAAUACACUAGAGAAGCUUACUCUAAAUAAAGAAGUACCAGGAUGUGAACUUAGUAGUCAGUUUAAGUGUACAUUUUAAAAUCUGAUGGUCAUCUCAAUCCUGACUCUGGUUUGACUGAGGGCCAUGUUGAAGUUGUUCUGUGUUCAGGAUAGCAAAAACCUUUGGCAUACAUAGGGACCCCUGUCUCCCACCAACAGGCUAUCAAACAGUCCUGUCAUAGAACAAAGAAGAGAUUAUUGUUUUGAAGGUUGUAUUUAAUUAAUUUAAAGGAUUUUGUACUGUUUCCCAUUUACCGAUUAAAAUAGCAGUGUUAAAAGAAAUGUGAUGUCACCUGUCAAUGUAUGGUUUUGCCUAUAUAUUACUGUAGCUGUUUAAUAGAAGGCUUAUUUGGACAAAGAAGAUAAAUGUUUCACACAAAGUGAAACUGAAAGUGUUCCUAGAUGUUCUGCACCACAGACAAGAAUGUGAAAAAUGCAAUGCAAAGAAAUACAUAUUGUAUGUAUUACAAUAAAAGAAUGGAAUAUAAAUACAUUUAAUUUCAUGUGUAAGGGAAAGCCAGCACAUGUUAUCUCUAAAAUCAGAUUUUUACCUAUAACCAUUAUUUAAUUUUAUAUUUGUAAUACGUAUUUACAUCUUUUUAUGUUAGUAUUUUUAUUUUAUUAAACAUAAUUAAAAAUAACUAGCCAUUGUAACAGAAACAUUAAGGACUGCGUUUGUUUGUACCACCAUCAAUGCCCUGUAUCACGAAGCGAGAUGAACAACACUGAGUUGCAGAGUAAGUUUUGAGUUGACAAAACCAGACAAACCCACAGUGGUUUAGAUCAGCUAGGUUCAGCUGCAGCGCAACUUGGUAUAAACUUUCUCUGUCAACUCUGGUUUGAUCCAGAGUUUGUGAGGCGCUUGCAACUUAAAGUGUGACACAUGAGGCAAACAGCCAAUCACACGGAACAUGGAAAGCAUCAUCCAUUUGAUUUGCUUCUCGCGAGUAUCAGCCGAAUCCACUUUUCUGUUGAAGAUGAAGAGAUUAAUGUGAAAAAAAUCUAAUUAGUUCAAUUAGUACUUGUCUGAGUGCCACAAGUAAAUUCUGUCAACUUUAACCUGAACCUGUUUUGUGUAAGAGUAUUCAUUGAAGAGAGUACUUUAACAUUCUGGCAUAGUCAGGUUUUCUUUGUUGGUGGCAUAAGGAUAAUUUUGGUGGGAGGAAUUGUUUUUUGGGGGGGUAAACAAUAGCAACCUUAGGCCGUGGUUUACAGCGGAUAAAGUUUGGGACUACUUCGUGGGAAAAGACUGCAGGUGGCUCUAUGGAUUCUGAGUGGCAAAGACAAGAGUUGGAAUCACCAGCCUUUCCAGAGAAUUCAAGUGGAAAUAUGGACAAAGCUGAUAAAGCUGUAAUGGACAGAGGGCAACAAGGGUUGUUGAUUCUACAGGCUGAGAAGGUACCAAAAUUCUCAGGGGUUUUGAAUGUGACAGACACUCUUACUGUAGAGGAAAUGCAUGUUCAUACUAAAGCUAUGGCGAAAGAGAAAGCAUUGUGGGUGUAUAAUCAUUUAGAGGAUGCCGCUCUCAUCUUCCAAAGGUGGAAACGGAAUUAGUAUUAGUAAAGUAUAUUUAGAGUGCUGAGAGAAGUUUAUGGGUGUUCACACUCUCAUAUUUCCCUGCAACAUCGGUUAUUUAAUCGUAAACAACGGGAGAGGGAAUCUUUGUUAGAUUAUUCCCAUGUUUUGAUGACGUUAAUGGAUCAAAUUGUGAAGUCAAACGAACUGGCCGAGGCUAAGUCUCAAAAAGAUCAUCGUGACCAAUUUUGUGAUGGGGUGUAAGAUCAAAUAUUGGGUGUGAGAUUAAGCGAUCAAGUACGGGUAAAUCCGAAUUGGACGAUUCGUGAAGUACGCAGGGAAGCUGUUAAAUGGAUAGUACAAUGUGAGGGACAGUAUUUUAAAUGAAAGCCAAAAGACACCCCAUAUUUUUCUAAUGAGGCCCAGGUUAAGGGGUUUAAUGAGCAGAAGCAUAUAAAUCAAUCGGAGCAUGCAGAAUUUAGAUCUCUAAUUGAGGCACAGCAGAGUCAGUUGGAUUCACUGGUAAAGGCACUUAACCCAUUAAAAAUGAGUGUAAUGGCUCCUGCCCCUGCGCCUCCCUCUAGAAAUAGAAGGAGGAUGUAGAGCGAGUUGAGAUGUUUUCGGUGUGAUCAGUUGGGUCACAUGGCACGUUAUUGUUCUGCUCCUCCACAGCUUAGGCCGAUACAAGCAGGAAAGGAAAAUGUGACUCAACAGGGAAACUAGAACCGCCAGUGUGCAGAGCCACACACUGGUGGAGAAAACACCUGACUCUUUUAUUGAGACCACGCGAAUACUUGUGAGCCAUUGCCCAGUAGUAGAAGUGAAGUUUGGGGAUAUGGUAAUUCCUUCUUUGUUGGACACGGGGUCAAUGGUUACAACUAUAACCGAGGGUUGCUAUAAUGAGUGUUUUACUCAACUUCCGCUGAAGAGUUGCUUGUGGUUAGACCUUAGAGUGGGUAAUGGGUAAGAGUUACCUUAUUUGGGCUAUUUGGAAUUAGAUGUCACAAUCUUGGGUAAAUACAUGCCAGCUAUGGGUGUACUGGUAGUGAACGAUCCCAAAGACCCCAAGAUGCAGUUUAGGAAGCUAGGAACCCCGGGGCUACUAGGAAUGAACGUCAUUAAGGGAUUUUAUCAUGAGUUGUUUCAGCAACAUGGCACUAGACUCUUUGACAUUCCAGUACUACUGGAGUUUGACGGUAUGGAGAAGAGCUUUGAGGCAUUGCCAGGUUGAAGAAACAAUCUUUAAACUCACAUGAAGUCUAUAAGGUUAAAGUGCAAGGAGGGGCCAAACCUCCUUCGACCCGCCUCGGCUGCUAAGCUGUCCUCCUUGACUCAAACAAUUUAAUAAAUACUCUAGACCUGAAACAAACCUGUCUGUGUCCCCUUUUAUGUUACGACAUUCUUAUUAGAUUCCCAAGAGUCGUAACAUAAAGAGUUGUAAGGCAGCUGGAAAAGUGCAAAGAAUUAAGGUUGUUUGUAAAGCUGGGACACAAAACAAUCAAACACCAUUUGUUGCUAUAUCAUGAGGAAUGAUAUCCUUUCCUCCCAUCAGGGGUUGAUGUCCAUGAACUGAACUCUUCUUAUCACACCUCUCUCAUCCACUUCAUCUAUUCAGGCCUUGAUCAUUGGAAAAGUGCUUACACAUUCCAUAUUGUGUUUAUAAUGUUUUGUCAUGUUAUGAAGAUUUGAAAAUCAUGUUUGGUAUUGUUUUAAAGGUCUUGGUGCGAUGGGUGAAAGGGUCUAGUUCCUUCAAACCUAACAAAGAGUGUAUUAGAGCUUUUUAACUUUAGGACGUUACCUGCACUCCUCUAAGAGGAUUGGCUUUAUCAGGGAAUCCAGUUCAAAGAUAAAUUGGCAUCCCAUUUGAUGAUCUCGUCAGCAACAAGUUAAACUAAAUUUCACAAUGACCAUUGUAUUAACAAUGAACAUUGACUACAUCAUUCUUGGGUAUAAAAGGUGCAUUGGCAAAAGACUCAGGGAAGAUUCUGUAACCAGAACUUCCCACAUUGCAGAUGUGCAUCUUGAUUUGGAAGCAUCUGUAACCAGAACUUCCCACACUGCAACUGUGUGUCUCGAUUUUACCAGGUAUGAUAAACUUUGUGGUUUUAUUUUGUUCUUAUACUAUGUUAAUAAUCUUUGCAUAGUAUAUUAGGAAUUUCCAUGUAUAUGCAUUCUAUGAUUUUAAUUAAUGUUGUGCCUGCCUGGUAUAAUAAAUUGUUAUUGUUGAUAUUA